CCUACGGGGGGCUGCAGUAGGGAAUCUUUCACAAUGGGCGAAAGCCUGAUGGAGCAACGCCGCGUGCAGGAUGAAGGCCUUCGGGUUGUAAACUGCUUUUAUAAGCGAGAAAUAUGAUGGUAACUUAUGAAUAAGGAUCGGCUAAUUACGUGCCAGCAGCCGCGGCCAUACGUAGGAUCCGAGCAUUAUCCGGAGUGAUUGGGUGUAAAGAGUUGGGUAGGUGGGAUUAUAAGUAGGUAGUGGAAUCUGGUGGCUCAACCAUUCAGACUAUUAGCUAAACUGUUAAGCUCGAGACCGUUAGGGGUAACUGGAAUUUCUAGUGUAGGAGUGAAAUCCGUAGAUAUUAGAAGGAACACCAAUAGCGUAGGCAGGUUGCUGGGACGGUUCUGACACUAAGGCACGAAAGCGUAGGGAGCAAACGGGAUUAGAUACCCGUGUAGUC
rnacentral:rRNA from 1 species